rnacentral:rRNA from 1 species
GGGCCCGCACAAGCGGUGGAGCAUGUGGUUUAAUUCGAUGAUACGCGAGGAACCUUACCAGGGCUUAAAUGCAGAAUGACAGAUUGGGAAACCAGUCCUUCUUCGGACAUUUUGCAAGGUGCUGCAUGGUUGUCGUCAGCUCGUGCCGUGAGGUGUCAGGUUAAGUCCUAUAACGAGCGCAACCCCCUAUCAUUAGUUGCCAGCGGGUAAUGCCGGGAACUCUAAUGAGACUGCCAGCGCAAGCUGCGAGGAAGGUGGGAUGACGUCAAAUCAUCACGGCCCUUACGUCCUGGGCUACACACGUGCUACAAUGGUUGGGACAAUGGGCAGCCACUACGCGAGUAGGAGCUAAUCCUUAAAACCCGGUCUC